GCAAGUCGAACGCGAACGCAAUCUUCGGAUUGUUAGUAGAGUGGCAGACGGGUGAGUAAUGCAUAGGGUAUCUACCCAUGAGUGGGGAAUAACUAGCCGAAAGGCUAGCUAAUACCGCAUAACGUCAUGUUGCACAAGUAAUAUGAACAAAGGGGGGGAUCUUCGGACCUCUCGCUUAUGGAUGAACUUAUGUCCUAUUAGAUAGUUGGUAGGGUAAUGGCCUACCAAGUCAAUGAUGGGUAGCCGAGCUGAGAGGCUGAUC
rnacentral:rRNA from 1 species